UGGGGAAUUUUGGACAAUGGGGGAAACCCUGAUCCAGCCAUCCCGCGUGUGCGAUGAAGGCCUUCGGGUUGUAAAGCACUUUUGGCAGGAAAGAAACGUCAUGGGUUAAUACCCCGUGAAACUGACGGUACCUGCAGAAUAAGAACCGGCUAACUACGUGCAAGCAGCCGCGGUAAAAGGAAGGGUGCAAGCGUAAAUCGGAAUUACUGGGCGUAAAGCGUGCGCAGGCGGUCCGGAAAGAAAGAUGUGAAAUCCCAGGGCUCAACUUUGGAACUGCAUUUUUAACUACCGUGCUAGAGUGUGUCAGAGGGAGGUGGAAUUCCGCUUGUAGCAGUGAAAUGCGUAGAUAUGCGGAGGAACACCGAUGGCGAAGGCAGCCUCCUGGGAUAACACUGACGCUCAUGCACGAAAGCGUGGGGAGCAAACAGG
rnacentral:rRNA from 1 species